UCAAUUCGUUUUUUUUAUGAUUAAUUAAUUUUAUAAAAAAUCUCCUCCGACGCCCUUUGCCCCGCCGAUUGCCACCGACGGACGGCCAACCAAAACCAGAGUCCUUCCCAACUAACACGGCAACCUUAUCUAUCAUAUUAAUUGGCUAUACGACAGACAGACUGUUCUUUCUGAAUCCCCACCCAACUAAACCUAUCUCUUUUCUUUCUUUUUCCGGAUAAAAGCUUCGACAACUGGAUAAUAGAAAUCCCCAAUCGCUUCGGAUCCCCCCCAACACUUGCAACACCGUUUUGGCGGG
rnacentral:lncRNA from 1 species